UACGUAGGGUGCGAGCGUUGUCCGGAAUUAUUGGGCGUAAAGAGCUUGUAGGCGGUCUGUCGCGUCUGCUGUGAAAAUCCGGGGCUCAACCCCGGACUUGCAGUGGGUACGGGCAGACUAGAGUGUGGUAGGGGGAGACUGGAAUUCCUGGUGUAGCGGUGAAAUGCGCAGAUAUCAGGAGGAACACCGAUGGCGAAGGCAGGUCUCUGGGCCACUACUGACGCUGAGAAGCGAAAGCAUGGGGAGCGAACAGG
rnacentral:rRNA from 1 species